CUUUAUAUAUUUUCACGGUUUCAAAAUAUUAGGUUGGAAUAAACGAGUGUAAAUUCUAGUUUUACUGUUUUGAUUAUGCGCCUUUAAAUUUUCGGCAUUUACAUAUUUUCGAGAUUUACUGCAUUGAAACCAAGCGUUCGAUUGCUUGACGUCACUUCGUGAUCGACAUCGAUGAAACGCUUGCUUACGCUGUAGAUGUUAUUUUCUGUGCAAAUACAAGCGUCUAUUGAUAACGAAACGAUAAUUUGUCAACAAUGAGAAUCAGAUACUUGGCUUAAUAAUUUUCAUUUAAAAUGUCUAAUUUGGAUAUAAUUCGGAAUACAAAACGAAACUUAAAAGGUAUUGAAAACAACAACGUUCAAAAGAACAAUGUGGAUUUCAAUAGAAAGACUAUUUCCACCGACAAUCAGGAUUUCCGGUAUGACCACUGUUAUUUUGACGAUUUUUCUAUCGGUUCGUCGGUAAGCGUGACCACAUGUGACAACAGCGAUGCUAGUUGGAUAUAAAAUUGGUAGACGUGUCGUUGAACUCGACACAUUGACCGAAUCGCUUUUAGCAUGCAGUGCUUGUCAAGUGCCCAUGAAUUUACUUAACACUGUAGAAAGCAGGGAUUUCGGACAGGCAUGUGUUUUGGACAUACAGUUUAGCAAUUGUGGUGCAGUAAAUAAUGUGGCUACUGGACGGAAACAUGGCAGAGUUUAUGACAUGAUCACAAAGCUUGCAUUUGGGUAAAUCAAAAACUGGGUGUUUCACCUGGGACUUUCACAUCGAAACUGGCCCUUCUCCAUGACCUUCAGCACAAAAAAGAAAGGCUAUAGCUGUUACUCGUGCAGCAAAACAGUGACGCAUAAGACUUAAAACUCGAACGGCAUUCAAAGGACAGUGCAAGAAGUACGAGUGGGACCAACAUACAGUUCAAACAUAGAGGACCAAGACGUUGAAGUUACAACUAUACCCCCACCUAUACCCAAGCCUGGUCAAGCAGGGCUAGACACUACUGGGAAGGAAUUUGUUUUCUUUGAUUUGGAAACAAGAGGGUUAGAGCACACUUCUCACAUAAUUCAGAUAGCUGCAGUGCAUUCAACUGGUCAAUUUUCAACAUAUGUGAUGCAUGAGAAGAAGAUUUCCUUGCAAGCGUCAGAAAUAACUGGAGUGACAGUUGUUAGCGUCUCUAUGCUUGUCAAGAGACAAACAGUAACAGCUGUCCCCAUCAAAUCUGCAUUGACAAGUUUUAUAACAUUCUUACAGAAAUGUUCACCAAUUAUUUUAGUUGGGCAUAAUAUAGAGUCUUUUGAUUGUAAAGUGUUGCUCCGUGCUAUCCAUACUUGUUGAAAAAUGUUUGAGUUUCAGCAAAAUAUUUGUGGCUUUUUAGAUACUUAAAAAUGUUAAAGGAAAUAUUACCAAAUAUGAAAUCAUAUAAGCGGUGAAUUAUACAUGGCACAUGGCGCUAUACAGGAUAUUUUAGCUUUACAAAAGUUAGUGAACUUUGUUCCUCUUGACCAAAAAUUGUUAACAAAUAUUCAUUCAGCUUUUACCGAGCAGUGUUAACAUACAAUGUGUAACUAAAGGUUGCUUCCAACAUCAAAUCUUUACAAACCAUAAUUGAUACAAAAUUUAUAAGUCAAGGUGUUGCAAGGAAAGUUGCAGGAAGUGGAUUUCAACUUAAACAUUUGAGUCCUGUAUCAAAAAGAAACGGACUGAGUGGUUUUAGGAGCCCCCUGUCAGAGGUUACAAACGGACAAAUCAGAGUAACAAAAUCAAAGAAAAUAAUAUGUACAAUAGCGAGUUAUUUGUUGCCUGACAUCUAACCAAUUGUAAUUUGCAUCUUGUAUAUAGAUAAGCUAUGAAAUCUAAUAGCUGUUACAUAAUUGUUUUUCCUUCUCGAUGACGAACAUAGUUGUGAUUCUUAUGUCAGUUGUAUUUCUCAUGUUUCACCUAAGUUGUAAGAUAUUUUUGGCAGUGCAUUAAACCACAGAUGGUGUGUGAAACAUAAUUGCCCAGCUUAUUGUAUUCUUUGUUGUUUUAAGCUUCACCGGCCAAAGGCCAGCGGGGCUUAUGUUAUGAUUCUGUGUCCGUCGUGCGUGCGUGCCUGAACGUUUCCUUUAAACAUCUUCUUCUCCUAAACUACUGGUCCAAUUGUGAUGAAAUUUCUCAGGAAUGUUCCUCUUUCAACGUUGUUCAAAUUAUGCCCCUGGGGUCAAAUUUGACCCUGCCCCGGGGUCACAAAAUUGAACAUAUGCUUAUAUAGGGUUUAUUUUGUGAAAACUUCACAUAUUUUUUCGUCCAUAACCAUUGGGCCUUGGGCUUCCAAAUUUGGUAUGUAGUGGCAUCUUAUAGUCCUCUACCAAGUUUGUUCAAAUUAUGCCCCUAGGGUCAAGUUUGACCCUGCCCUGAGGUUCACAAAAUUGAACAUAUGCUUAUAUUAGGCAUUUUUUGUGAAAACUUUAAAAAUCUUCUUGUUCAUAUUAGUAUGGCAUAGGGCUACCAAAUUUGGUAUGUAGUGACAUGUAAUAGUUCUCUACCAAGUUUGUUCAAAUUAUGCCCCUUGGGUUAAAUUUGAAACUGCCCCAGGGGUUACAAAACUGAACAUAUGCUUAUAAAGUGCUUAAUUUGUGAAAACUUAAAAAAAAAUUGUCCAUAUCUAUUGGGCCUAGGGCUACCAAAUUUGGUAUGUAGUGACAUCUUAUAAACCUCUACCAAAUUUGUUCAAAUAAUGCCUCUGGGGUCAACUUUGACCCUGCCGCGGGGGGUCACAAAAUUUAAUAAACGCUUAUAAAGCGCCUAUUUUGUGAAAUCUUAAAAAAUCUUGUCGAAAACCAUUCUGACUAUGGCUACCAAAUUUGGUAUGCAGGAACAUCUUAAAGUCAUCUACCAAGUUUGUACUUUGGGUCUAAUUUGACCCUGACCCGCGGGUCACAAAAUUUAACAUUAUAUACGCUUGUAUCUUGCUUAUUUUGUGAAAACUUUAAAAAUAUUCUUGUCCUUAACUCUACAUCUAAGACUUAGGGCCACCACAUUUUGUAUGGAGUGAGAUAUAGUAGUCCUCUACAAAGUUUGCUCAAAUUAUGCCCCUGGGGUUAAAUUUGACCCAGCCCAGGUGGUCACAAAAUUGUACAUGUGCUUAAAUAGGGCCUAUAUUUAAGUAUCUGCUCAUGCGGAGAAUAUUUGUUUCAGUCUUUUUUUCAGCAGUGGAGCGAUACAGGGCCAUCAUGGCCUCUUGUCUUUAAAUACACAUCACACAGUUCUAAAAAUAAUUUUAAAAUACCUAAUACAUAUGUUCAAUUUACAACCAACAACAUGGGUAACAGGUGGGUGGGGUAAUUUAAGAUGUUUAUAUGAACAUCAACAUUGUUUUUUCAGUUGUUACAUCUGAAAUAUUUUCAUAACAAUAUACAUUAAAAAUAUUUCUACGUGUAUCACAUUUCAGUUGAAAAUUUGAUUGUUAUGGAGCAGUUAUUAUAUAGAUAUGUUUUAAUUACUAUUACAAUGUUAGUCAUUGUAUUUUUGAAAUUAAGUCCAUAUUAAAAUGUCUAUAGCAAAAAAAAAUCCACGGUGACCUAUCAAUUUCUUUACUUCAUUUUAAUGCUUAGCUAGUUUCCUUUAAUUAUUUAGAACUUCAAAUGAAUAUGAAUAUUACAUCAACAGAAAUAUGUAUCUGUAUUGCAUGUUAUCUAUUUUGAACUGUGCAAUAAAAAAUUCAAAACA